rnacentral:rRNA from 1 species
UACGAAGGGGGGCUAGCGUUGCUCGGAAUCACUGGGCGUAAAGGGUGCGUAGGCGGGUUUUUAAGUCAGAGGUGAAAUCCUGGAGCUCAACUCCAGAACUGCCUUUGAUACUGAAAGUCUUGAGUAUGGGAGAGGUGAGUGGAACUGCGAGUGUAGAGGUGAAAUUCGUAGAUAUUCGCAAGAACACCGGUGGCGAAGGCGGCUCACUGGCCCAUAACUGACGCUGAGGCACGAAAGCGUGGGGAGCAAACAGG